rnacentral:lncRNA from 1 species
CACUUAAGAAAGCAAGUUCCACAGGGCAAGGAGUCUGCUGUCUCUGCUGGUCCUUACUGCCACAGUGCCUGAUAUACAGCAGAGGAUUAAUGAUUUUUGUUGAAUGAAUCAGUAAAGAUGCAGCCUGGGAAGCUGGUGCAAAGCAGAUUGCCUUUCAUUUGAGUUGUGAAAGUCAGGUCACCAUGAGCAAUCCUGGUAGUUAAACAUGGACUUGUGUAGAGCGAAUGGCAGCAAGUGGCUGUUCAGAAAGAAUCAGCUCACCACAACAUCCUGCAUGCUCAGUGGGGACUGUCUCCUCUGUGUUUACAACUCAAUCAUAGUCAGUGUUAACCUGAGUUUCACAGACAACAAGGGAAACCACCAACUGCAGUGUUUUUCCCAGGAGCAAAGAGCCAUUGUGGUAGCAGAGAGUUUAACCAACCCAAAGUUAAAGGUGAAAUUGCAGACUUUUAAAACCAGAAGCAUUUGGAGCACAUAGGAAUUGGCUCUCUUCCAUCACCACUGCCAGCGUCUUGGUGGAGGAUGGGAUUGAAACCAGCCAUUUCUGAAGCACUUCGCAUAAUUACUUCCUUUGAUCUUCACAACAAACUGCAUUUAAAACUACCUGCCUUUAAGUGCUUAAAUAACUCACCAAAGAUAAAAUAAAAUUGUAAGGAUGGCUCCACUUGCGUUUCCUGAUACCAGAUCUUGUAUUUUCAAAACUAAAUAAAGGGAAUAUCCAACAAGAAGAGUCUUAGAUUGGGAGAAGUGAAUGUGGUCCACGGCAAGGGGACAUCACAGAGGAGCUCAUAGGAAGCAACACUCAGCAGAUCGGCCACUAGAGUAUUGACAGCAGGUACCAAGGAUAAAGCAUCAUAAGCAAGGAUAUGAACUCCAGGAUUGAGGCUCUUUGGAUCCCCACCUUGGUUCUACCACUGUGGAUAAAGAAUCAUGGACAAGGUGUUUAAAUUCUCUGUAGCUUGGCAUUCUGUGAAAUGGGUAGCAUAAAACCGUCAUACACAAUGAAAUAAUCUAAAGUAUGGAGAACAAUGGUUGGUAUGAUAUAGGCAAGAAGCAAAUGUGAGAAUUCCAUUAUCCACUAAGUCUUCAGUCACAUAGGUAUAAAACAAAACUGUGUUUCUUCUUGUCACUCCUCUUUCUUGUGCAGAAACUUUCCUUUCUUCUUUCCAUUCACAUUUUCCCCUACUUUCUGAGUAUGUUAUAUACUGACUGCUGUAUUAAGUCCUAAACACAUUGUGCAUUCAAAAUCCAGGCUUCAAUGGUAAGGAUUCACUUUACUUUAGAAUUCUAAAGAUGUGUUCAAAGAGGAAAAUUCUGGAGCUGGCUUUGGAACAAUGCACAGGAGUUUUCCAUGUAGGCAAAGGCAUUUAGAGUCCAUGAAACUUGGCUUAACAUCAUGGAAUCUAAGAGCAACUUUGCAGGUUUCAGUGGAUAUGAGUGUGAUGAGAUAAAACAGGAACACAAAGCACAUGUGAAGGGCAGUGGGAGGUGAAGAAGGCUCCAUGCAUUGCCAACCCCAGGUGAUAUGUUGAGAUAUUAAUUAAGGUGGCCCCUCCUCACCCCUAUAGUUCCACAUGGUACUGCACUGCUGGGCAACUGGACUUCAGGUAAAGGGGGUUGUUUUUGUAGAAACACAAACACACCUGACCACAUACCUGUAAACAGUAAACAAGCAAGUUUUCCUUUACUAAGUAGUCUUCUGAAGCCCAAGGUAUAAAUAGUAAUUUUGGAAGUCAAGGUUUUUUUCUAAAAAUUUUUGUUCAUUUUGGAUUUUCAUCAACACCCAAAGCUGUGGAGUAUAAAGUGCACACUGCAGCUGAUAGACUAUGAUGAAAGCUUGAGGAGAAGGAGUUACUUUUCUCAUCCUAAAUUUGGUAAAGCUGUCAUGGCCAAGAGAGAAAAGAGGGUGGGGAGAGAGAGAGAGAGAGAGAGAGAGAGAGAGAGAGAGAGAGAGAGAGACAGAGAGAGAGAGGAGCAGAAAAUAUAAACUAUUGACACAGGCAGGUUGGGUCUUUUAAUGAGAUCUAAAUGAGAUUCUUCCUAAAUUUUAGGAUGUAUGAGAGGCACAGUGGAAAAGCACUGACACAUAAAAUAUAGGACGUAUUUGAUAGUGUAAUGACCAAAGUCCACCUGAAUUAUUGUUAUGAGCAAACCACAGGUGAGAAAGCAAGUUCACUGAGUCCUAAGGGAGAGUUAAGAAGGACCACGAUGGACCCAUGCCUAGGACCAGCAGGGAUAUGGACAAAGCUGGAGGUGUCAGAGUGGAUGUCAAUAUAACUGACAGGACCUAAUGCCCUGAAGUUCAAAGUUAAAAAUCAACCCAGAGACAUAAUUAAGGGCAGGCAGGAAAUUCUAAACUGACCAAGAAAAUUCUGAAGCAUUCUUGAGCAUAUUUUGAAUUGAUGGAGGUGAAAUUUCCUUCACUAGAGAAGGAAAUAGGGUCUCAAAUAGAAAUUAAAUUUAUUUUUUAAAAGCAAUUUAAAUGUUUUCCACUAUACCCCCUUACAUCUGUAAAUAUGUAAGGAUAACAUGAGGGUACCUAUAAUAAUGAUGAAAAGAAGAGCCUGGAAAAUGACCACAUGCGGAUGGAUGGAGGGAUGGAUGGAUGGACUGACAGGUGGACAGAUGGAGGAUGGGUGGGUGGGUGGAUGAACGUACAUCUCUACACAUGAAAAGAGAGCUGGGUGAGUGGAUGGAUGGAUGGAUGGAUGGGAGGGUAGAGAGAGGGAUAUUUGGGUU